GCCACCAAUUGAAUGAAAGUUGCAUUACCCUGAGAAGACAAGAAGUGACUCAUGUUGGCAGCAGAAGACAUUGCUAAUUCUGGAAACUCUAAGUUGUCCUAGGUGCAGGUGCCCAGGCCCAGGCCAUAGGGGCUGUGGAGGGGUGUCUGUGGCUGUGGAGAGGCUGUGGCUGUACUGUGAUGGACAUGAACAGCUCCAGGUGCCUCCAACUGAUUCACACAUGGCACAGCUGAGCCUCUCAGCCAUGCUGGCAGUGCCUCUAGGAAAAUGUAUUUUAAAAAGGGGAAAACAUUUUGUGGCAACGAGGAGUGAGGAAAAAGUGUGAUGAGCAGCCCUGUGAUGUCAUGGUCAAACAAGGAGGAGGGAAAGAAGUGCUUCAGGUGCUGGAGCAGAGACUUUGCAGCCUGUGGAGGACCACUGUGGAGCAGAUGGAUAUUUCCUGAAAGACUGCAUCUUCUGGAGAGCCCACCUGGGAGCAGAUAUUUCUGAAGGAGUGCAGCCUCUUGGAAGGACCCACAUAGAAACCGGGGAAAAGUGUGAGAAGUUAGGAUUGGCAAAAAGGAGCUGUUCUGUGUUGACCAUGACCACAGCCCACAGUUCUCCAUCUCUCUGUGCAGCUUGAAGAACUGUGAAGAAAGAUCUGCUUUCCUGGUGCAGGAAAUAAGAAGAAAGCAGGAACAAGAGACCAGGUCCAUUAAUUCUGAAUACUGAGUCAAGGUAUUUUAAGAACUACUUUUGGACUAAUUCAUGAGACACCUUUUGUAAUAAAGAAAAAAAGAAUGGGAAAGCGAGGAGAUGCAUGACUGCCCUGUGAAAAAUACAUUUGGGAAGGGAGGAAGAGAAAUCCUGAGCCUGCUGGAGACUUGAACAUAUAUAAUAUGAAUAUAUAAUUUCAUAUGAUUUAUGCCAACUAAGCGACAAUUAGUAAGAUAUUCUCUUUAUAUAGCAAAAAGCUUGAUAAACUGGCCAAAACCCAUCUCUCUGAAACACCAUUGACUUUUAAAAUAUGCUACAGGACUACCACAGAAAUAUGUAACUUAUGUAACAAUAUGCAGUCCUCACAAAGACUGAUUUUAACAACAGUUUUACAAAUCUAUUAUUCUGCUGGUAUAAGUAUUAUAAUUGCAAGUAUAAAUAAUGCAGGUAUUGGCCUUGAAACUUUUAUUUCAAAGCCUUAUUGUUCUUUUGG